UACAGAGGGUGCGAGCGUUGUCCGGAAUCACUGGGCGUAAAGGGCGCGUAGGCGGCUUGAUAAGGUUGCGGUGAAAGCCCGGGGCUCAACCCCGGGUCGGCCGUGGCAACUGUCGAGCUGGAGCACUGUAGAGGCAGGUGGAAUUCCGGGUGUAGCGGUGGAAUGCGUAGAGAUCCGGAAGGACACCGGUGGCGAAGGCGGCCUGCUGGGCAGUGGCUGACGCUGAGGCGCGACAGCGUGGGGAGCAAACAGG
rnacentral:rRNA from 1 species